rnacentral:rRNA from 1 species
UACGAAGGGGGCUAGCGUUGUUCGGAAUUACUGGGCGUAAAGCGCGCGCAGGCGGUCUUUCAAGUCAGUGGUGAAAGCCCGGAGCUCAACUCCGGAAAUGCCAUUGAAACUGUGAGACUUGAGGACGAGAGAGGUGAGUGGAAUUCCCAGUGUAGAGGUGAAAUUCGUAGAUAUUGGGAAGAACACCGGUGGCGAAGGCGGCGCUCUGGACCGAGACUGACGCUGAGGCGCGAAAGCGUGGGGAGCAAACAGG